UCACAACACCGCCCAAGCUCCUCCUUUGCGCCACUUAGGGCUUGGAAACGUUGGAGCCCCGCCUUUUUCCUAGCCUUCCCCACCCCUCCAACGAACUUUACAAUCUAGCUCCUCAGCCUGUCGGUGCCCCGCAGACUCUCAAACGGGUGCUCGGCGCCCGAGUGCAAAGACAACACCAGAUGACCUGCAAAGGCUGUGACUAAGGAACUCCGAGCCAGGAUAAGGGACCUUUUCGCCUACGGUUUGAGGCAGCGUUCCCACACAGUUCCCCCCCUUUGGAGACAGACUCUCAUGUGGCCGAGGCUGACCCUGAACUUGUUAUGAACUUGUGUGACACACUGAGGUCCUGCUCCUCCAACUUGUGCAUUCUAUGUUCUGGGAUGGAAGGCUUGUAGCACCACAUCUGGUCUAUGUAGUAUCGCCAGGCAAGUGCUGUACCAGCUGAACUACACAGGUUUUUAUGGCUUUUAUGUAUCAAGUUUCAUCUGUCAAUAUUUGUGAGAUAUAGUUAAUAUUUCUUAAUUUAAAAGAUAAUAAAAUAUUUCUUACUACUUUUAA